AGUUAAUUUGCUUAUUAAGCAUUAUAUUUUGAAAAUAUAACAUAGAUUUUAAUCUAUUAACUU
rnacentral:tRNA from 1 species